CUGUGGGGCAUUAGCUUGUUUUGCAGGGGAAAUUCAUCGUUUACUGUGAAAAAAUUAGAGUGUUCAAAGCAGGCUUAUGCCAAUGAAUAUGCUAGCAUGGAAUAAUGAAAUAGGACUUUUGGUACUAUUUUGUUGGUUUGCGCGCCAAAGUAAUGAUUAAUAGGGACAGUUGGGGGUAUUCGUAUUCCAUAGUCAGAGGCGAAAUUCUUGGAUUUUUGGAAGACGAACUACUGCGAAAGCAUUUACCAAGGAUGUUUUCAUUAAUCAAGAACGAAAGUUAGGGGAUCGAAGAUGAUUAGAUGCCAUCGUAGUCUUAACCAUAAACUAUGCCAGUUAGGGAUUGGCAGGGUAUCGUUACGUCCCUGUCAGCACCUUAUGAGAAAUCAUUAAACUUUUGGGUUCCGGGGGGAGUAUGGUCGNAAGGCUGAAAC
rnacentral:rRNA from 1 species